rnacentral:rRNA from 1 species
AUUGAACGCUGGCGGCGUGCUUAACACAUGCAAGUCGAACGAAGUGGCGAACGGGUGAGUAACGCGUAAUCAACCUGCCCUUCAGAGGGGUACAACAGUUGGAAACGACUGCUAAUCCCGCAUACUGAAGUAGGGGAUUUCGUUGGAUUAGCUAGUUGGAGGGGUAACGGCCCACCAAGGCGAUGAUCAGUAGCCGGUCUGAGAGGGUGAACGGCCACAGUGGGACUGAGACACGGCCCAGACUCCUACGGGAGGCAGCAGUAGGGAAUCUUCCGCAAUGGACGAAAGUCUGACGGAGCAACGCCGCGUGAGUGAUGACGGCCUUCGGGUUGUAAAGCUCUGUUAAUCGGGACGCGGUACCGGAAUAGAAAGCCACGGCUAACUACGUGCCAGCAGCCGCGGUAAUAC